rnacentral:tRNA from 1 species
GUCAGGAUGGCCGAGCGGUCUAAGGCGCCAGACUCAAGAUUUCAAAUCUUGCUCAUGAGAAGUGAGUGAUUGAGCCUUCUGGUCCUCUCUGAGGGCGUGGGUUCAAAUCCCACUCCUGACA